rnacentral:rRNA from 1 species
GACGAACGCUGGCGGCGUGCUUAACACAUGCAAGUCGAACGGAAAGGCCCUGCUUGCAGGGUACUCGAGUGGCGAACGGGUGAGUAACACGUGGGUGAUCUGCCCUGCACUUCGGGAUAAGCCUGGGAAACUGGGUCUAAUACCGGCUAGGAGCCAUUUUUAGUGUGAUGGUUGGAAAGUUUUUUCGGUGUAGGAUGAGCUCGCGGCCUAUCAGCUUGUUGGUGGGGUAAUGGCCUACCAAGGCGGCGACGGGUAGCCGGCCUGAGAGGGUGGACGGCCACAUUGGGACUGAGAUACGGCCCAGACUCCUACGGGAGGCAGCAGUGGGGAAUAUUGCACAAGGGGCGCAAGCCUGAUGCAGCGACGCCGCGUGGGGGAUGACGGCCUUCGGGUUGUAAACUCCUUUCGCUAGGGACGAAGCUUUUUGUGACGGUACCUAGAUAAGAAGCACCGGCUAACUACGUG